rnacentral:misc_RNA from 1 species
AUGCGAUAAGUAGUGUGAAUUGCAGAAUUCAGUGAAUCAUCGAAUCUUUGAACGCACAUUGCGCCCCUCGGUAUUCCGUGGGGCAUGCCUGUUCGAGCGUCAUCUACACCCUCAAGCUCUGCUUGGUGUUGGGCGUCUGUCCCGCCUCCGCGCGUGGACUCGCCCCAAAUUCAUUGGCAGCGGUCCUUGCCUCCUCUCGCGCAGCACAUUGCGCUUCUUGAGGGGCUCCGGUUCGCGUCCAACAAGCACAUUUACCGUCUUUGACCUCGGAUCAGGUAGGGAUACCCGCUGAACUUAA